UCGUAACAAGGUUUCCGUAGGUGAACCUGCGGAAGGAUCAUUGUCGUGACCCUUAAACAAAAUAGACCGUGAACGCGUCUCCCGUGCCGUCGGGCCUUGGCCCGGCAAGAGGCCCCCGAGCUCCGUCCUGGGGCGGAGGGGCCGCAACAGAACCCACGGCGCCUUAGGCGUCAAGGAACACUUGUAUCUGCCUCGCACCGCAGAGCGGUUGGCCUGCCUUCCGCUCCACGUGCGGCGAUGACAUCUUAAUCCACACGACUCUCGGCAACGGAUAUCUCGGCUCUCGCAUCGAUGAAGAACGUAGCAAAAUGCGAUACCUGGUGUGAAUUGCAGAAUCCCGCGAACCAUCGAGUUUUUGAACGCAAGUUGCGCCCGAGGCCUUCUGGUCGAGGGCACGUCUGCCUGGGCGUCACGCCAAAAGACACUCUCUACCCACCCUAGGGAGGGAUGUGGUGUUUGGCCCCUCGUGCCGCAGGUUGCGGUGGGCUGAAGUUGGGGCUGCCGGCGAUUCGUGUCGGGCACAGCACGUGGUGGGCGACAAUCAGUUGUUCUCGGCGCAGCGCCCCGGCACGCGGCCAGCGCAUCCGGCCCUAAGGACCCAUCUAGUACCGCAGCGCUUCGUCGCUCGGACCGCGACCCCAGUCAGACGAAU
rnacentral:rRNA from 1 species